rnacentral:rRNA from 1 species
UACGGAGGGGACUAGCGUUGUUCGGAAUUACUGGGCGUAAAGCGCACGUAGGCGGAUUUGUAAGUCAGGGGUGAAAUCCCGGGGCUCAACCUCGGAACUGCCUUUGAUACUGCAAAUCUCGAGUCCGGAAGAGGUGAGUGGAAUUCCUAGUGUAGAGGUGAAAUUCGUAGAUAUUAGGAAGAACACCAGUGGCGGAAGGCGGCUCACUGGUCCGGUAC